rnacentral:misc_RNA from 1 species
GAGUAACUUCCUACUUUGGCAGACCAGUGAGUGCCAGUUAUAUUCUCCAGAUGCAUUGUGGCCAGAAAUUGGUUUAUGGCACUUGGUGUGGGCAGUAUUAAACUUCCAGAGAAACCAUUCUUAUUUGGAAAGGAAAAAGCAUCAGUUGUAACGAGUUAAUACUGCAGAACAAUAUCUUGUCACACAUUUCAUGUGAUAAUUCUGUUCUUGCCACUGAAUUCUUCUGGUAGUUGGUAAGCUUAAGGAUGUGACACAGAAAGCUUAAAUUUUCAAGCAUGGG